ensembl:lncRNA LINC01095 long intergenic non-protein coding RNA 1095
AGGGCUCCCUGAGGGAGGCCAGCACAAGAGCUCUGCCAUAAAAGGACAUUGGACAGAAGUGAAGAGUCCAAUCAGAAACUCUUUUUGAGAGACUGAACGCAAAGCAUUCAGAGAGUCAGCAGGCUGGAGAGGCCAAGACACACACACGAAGAAGGCAGUGCCCUGUCAUCUCCUCAAAUGUUGCUCUUAUUCACUGAAGCAAGCUGACUCCCCAAUACCAUGUACAUACUGAACCCAGAAGAGGGGAGAAAAGAAGGAAGGAUUGUGCAUAGGAGUUCCUUUUGAAGAAGUGACAUGGAGGGACACUCUUCUCCUCCUGCGGUUGGACUCCAGGCUCUAUGACCUUCAAACUCCAGGACUUACACCAGUUGCCCCUGGGCACUCAGGACUUCUGCUUCAGACUGACAGUUGCAGGACAGUGCAGCAUUUUAUUUUAAAGAUACCCCACAACGUAGGUGGCCAGUCCUGCUGCAGGUGCGGUUUCAAGCCUUUGGAGUUUGACCUUCUAGUCCAAGGUCAUUACAGCUGCAGGCAGAGGCUCCCGCGGGGAAAAGAGCAUUUCCUGGGACGCUGGAACUAAAUGAAUGGCCCACUCUCCAGUUCAGCCCUUGCCUCCUUCCCGACACAUAAAGUUCAAGAGCCACGGUCCUGAGUGCAUAGGAACAGCCCCAUCACCCUUCUCCCUCUGGGCAAGCUAGGAGCAGCGGUGCGAGGCUCCAUUUCUUCUUCUCUGCCUCCUGGACCUCAGCCACCUCUGCUCAGGCACAGGCCAGCUGCCCAGGCGUCCUCAUCUGGCGACCAGCUCUGACCGCAGCCCUGAUUGAGAGCUGUACUAGCCUGGCAUGCAGACAGCAGCUUUAGAAUCAGAUCUGCCUUCUGGCGGCUUCCCACCUAGGAGCCAUGGGACCUUUGUGAAGUCACCAAUUGUGCUGUGGAUGCUUCAUUUGUGAAGGAGAACAGGACUGCCUUGUGAAAUUACGGAUGGUGCUACUAAAACAUAUCAAUAAUUUGAAUUUCACUUUUGUGGAUGCUUUAAACAUCAUAGUCAUUAGAAGGUGGAUCUGGCUGAUUGUACUUUAAGUUUUCAGUUUGAGCUGGAGCUUUGUAUUAUAACAGGAGGGUACUGGACAAGAUGAGGAAACUGAGGUACAGAUGGGAAACUUGCUCAAGUUCACACAGCAAUUAAGUGAUCAAGUCCAAGAGCAAAACCAGGCAGGCUGGCUCCAGAGCUCACGAUAGUCCACCACUGCUUUCCACCAUCACUACGGAAUCAAGUCCAUGAGGAUACUCACCUUAUGUCAGUUGCCUAAGUUGGAAAUUAUAGAAUCUUCAAAUUGGAAGGGACGUUAUCAUCCAAGAUUUCAACUUUCUACUCACUGCAAAAUCCCUUCUGGAACUUCCCAGAUUGAUGAAUUUUCAUCAGCUCUGCUUGAGUACUCCCAGUGACUUGGAAAAAAAACACUGUAAUAUGGAUAUGAAAUAUAAACUGUUCAUGGAUAAAUUAUUGCAUAAUAAAAACAUGCCUAAUGGCUACACUCCCCUAAUAUGUUCA